rnacentral:lncRNA from 1 species
CACUCUAAUAGCUCAUGUGAGAGAGGCAUUUAUUUGAUGAUGUCAUUGAUCCAACUGGACACUGUGAGCCUGACUGGGAAAACACUGGCUCCCAAUUUCAAUCCUUGUGGUCUGCUGAAGUCAGAGAAGUCAUGUGCUGAGCUCUUUGUGCUUAGCACAUUUGUGCAUUUCCAGGCCUCCUCUGCAUCUGAGCAAAGAUAUGGAACCCCUGGAUAUCGAGAGCCAACUAUAUAAAAACCCUGAGACUCUUAAAGAAAGAUGCUGGAGAGAAACUAGAUCAUCUUUCAAGCCAUUUAUCAAAGUGCUCACAUUUCCCAUUUCAAGCCCGGUGAAACAAUAAUAAGCCCUGAGAAAUGAGAGCUGAAAAAUAGAAAACAAAGGAAAAAAAAAAAAAAAGAAAGAAAAAGAAGAAAGCUGAUGUUUUGGUUCUUGCCAACUUUGGAUCAAAGAUGGAAGGUUUUAGAUGGCUUGUAAAUCACACUUUCAAAAAAUGUGCUGCAUUUUCUAAGGCUGGAGUGCCAUUUCUUUUCUAUUUCCAGUAGGGAAUCUUGUUCAUCAUGCUGUGUGUCAGAGACAAAGUUUGUCAAACCAACUGAUAAUUUUCCUUAAAGGCAGUUAGAAUUACCUACUUCAGGAAGAAGAACACUAUAAUGGUUCACUGUGCUUUCUCCUCCUGUCAGGUUAAAAAUUAAGGGUUAUGCAAGGGCAAGGGGCUGGUCAAAUAUGUGGUCUUCAUUCACUUGGAAUCAAGACAAGGUCAUUUUAUUGUUGGAGACACGUGGUUUAUCUCCUUUGAUUCUCAGUAAGUAGUGUUCACCAGGAUGGAUUCAAGUUGAAAAGUUGUGCCAUGGCCAAAGAAAGAGAGUAACACAUUCUCUCCAAGACUAUGUAGAUUGUGGAUAUAUCCUUUGAGAUCAUUGAGUGGUUAUCCUAAUGGCUUUGCUUUAAGUGUCAGGGUUCUACUUAGAUUAGGUACUCUCUGGAAAAUACAGUGUUACUCUGAAGAUAUAUCAUCAUCAAAAAGCAUUUAUCAAUGUUUCCGCUAUAUGCGUCUGGAAAAGGUGCUAUAGAAUACAACUGAUUUUUACAAGGUUUCUAACAUAAGAAAAUAUUGGAACUAGAAGAAUUCUUACAGUAACAGAUUGAUACAUAAAGAAGAAUGUUUGCAUACGGGCCAAGUAGACAAUGACAUUUAUAAGAUUCAGACUUACCAGUUCAAGAUAAUAGGAAGCCUAAAUUUAAUUUAAAUAUAUAUUUUGGUAUUAUAUUAAAAAGAAUACUGGGAAAUAGAGAAUUGACAUAUCUAAAGGAAUCCUAGACAGAAAGCCCAAAAAUAGAAAAUGCGGUAGUUGCCUUUUAUGAUACUUGUGACACUUGGGGUUUUUAUACUGAAGAAGUAUAUCCUGAAAGGGAGAACUUUAAAAUUGGUUUGGUUGUGAAUCUCUUUGUUUGGGACACAUCCCAGAGAAGUCUUUUUUUUUUUUUUUUUUUUGAGAGUGUCCCUAUUACAAGGCAGGCCAGAUGACCUCGCAAACUGCCUUUCAGCCACAAACUCUGUGAAAUCAGAAAAUGGUCCCAAUCAUGUCAGGAAACCUGCUAGUCCCUCUAGGUAAUGGAAGAGGGCAAGCUGAAGAAACAUUCAAUAAGCAUAAAGUAAGCAUUAUUGAUGUCUUAAAAGUGUUAGUAUCCCAUGAAACACAGGAGCGUGGGUAUCCGGAUUAAAAUCAUUGGCACCAGCAGGACCAUAACUCUCACUGCUAAGCGAUAAUGCAUUUUGCAUUAAUGCCUAACAUUGAGAAAUCCUGACAUGCCACACCAAGGGAGUUUGAAGUCAAGUAAGUAGAUUCCCUUUGAAUUGAAGUCCUGUGGGCCACAGUGGGUGCAGAAAGCCCAAGCUGAAAGAUCAGGGGGCAGGGACUUGAUUUAAGGGAAGGAAACUCAUCACCGUAGAUAGGUUAAGAGGCCUACUGCAUAUGGCUCCAAACUCUGUGCACUCAGGGUUUCCACUUAACAGAGGGGAAGAGCAUUGGCCUAGAGAACUUGCAACUUAGAAGUCCUUCACAGUGAUUUGGGAAUUCCUUGAACACAGAGGGCAUAGCCUUUUACUGCUUUCCUUAUCCUCUAUCCCAGCAGCUAUUAGUAUGGUUUACCAAAAGUUAGCACUUGACGGGUGACUGAAAAUUAAGAUUUUGCAGACUGUUAGCUCCACUCGGCUAUUUCUCUCACUAUAGGAGAGCCUGACUCCCACCACGCCCCUUCCAGGGAACAAGCAAAGUGACAGACAUUGUUUCUUUUGACUGAUACAUUAUUAUCUCCAACACUCUCUUUCCUUUGCUGUAACCUCAAGUUUCAAAGGAGCCAAAGAAAAAUAUUAAUAAUUGGAGGCAGCCUGACGACCUAAGACAAAAUCAUUGUGGAGCUGACACCAGCUCUGCAAGCUUUUGCACCUCUAAUGGGACACCGUAUGCUGAGAAGCAGCAAAACAACAGAGGAGUCUGCUUUCACGUUGAAAUUUUAUGAUUAACUCCUCUGACUAAAUGCAGACAAGUAUAAAUGCUCUGCCUGGAAACCGAGCCUAAGACACAAAGCAAAAUGGAUCCUUUUUAAAGCCGAGCAUAUUUCAGAGAAGAAAAAAGGACUCCGUUUCUACUUACAUACUUCAGCAGACUCCUCCUCCCUCCCCCACCCCACCCCCAGCUGCCAACCAAGGUGUUUGGCCGGCAUCCACUGUAAUCUGUUCUCCUUCAUUAUGUUAAUCUGUGGGCGGAAAGAUUUCUGUCAUCUUCGAAUCGCUUGUACAGCAAUGGUAAACACCUUGGCCUGUCUGUAAUUGGACAGGUGUCUGCAUUGAUGUCACCCAGCUUUUAAUUCAAUUAAAGAACUGGCUGCUCUGCUCUCAUCACCCACUCAUUUCCGUUGCACUUUUAGUCUGGCGGUGAAAUCUGCAUGCAGCAACUGUCUACCCUGAGUCCAAAGUCAGGGGUCCCCUUGUAAGGAUCAUGCACAAUAUUUCAAAUGCACUCCAACAAUCCAAGAGUAUUUCCACGUUAGCAAAGGCAUUUGGGAUAACAUGGAGAAUUUAUCUCUCAUUUUUUUUUCUUUAUCUUUAUAUUCUACUGCAUCUAAAUGAUAUCUUCUACUACUGGCCAGUAAUUAGGAGCAGUCACAGCAAACAGAAAAGCUGUUUCUAGCUUCCUCUCCCCAGGGUUUUCCCCCAUCUCAAGAGAACUCAUCAGAGUACAAUGCUCUUAUUUAUUUGCUGGCAUUUCACAUUUGGAUCAAGAAAGUGAGGGUGGGCAAGAGCAAGACAUUUAUUAAGAGGGCCAUCUGGUAAGGGAUGCCACACAGGCAGAGCUGCUACUGCUACCUGGAGACAUAAUGGAAGAGCCCACUUUUUAAAAGAAAACUGGCUAGGGGAAGGAGGGCAGAAGAAGAGACUUCUGGCUGAGGAUCCCGCUGCAGUGCUGAUAAAAUCUAAUUUUUAAGUAUACAUCCCAAACCAACCCAGUGGAUGGAUUAAAGAGAGUAAUCAAUCCAAUAUGCCAUGCUUCCUGACCACUUAAAGGAACCUCUGAAAAUAAAGUUCUAACACAGACAUUUUGACACAGUGAUCCCAUGAAACUGAAUAAUGACAUUUGUUAAAUAUGGAUGAAAACUUAACUAUCUAAUAGAGAUCUGGAAACAUAUCCAGGAUGCUUCUCCUCUGGUUCUUAGCCCAGGAGGGUGGGAUUUGUUAUUGUUGUUUUUGGAUAAUAUUUUCAAUAAAAAUAAGGACUUCUAAUAUUUACAAA